rnacentral:rRNA from 1 species
AGAGAGAGACAUGCGCGCAUAUCAAUAAGCGGAGGAAAAGAGACUAACUAGGAUUCCCUCAGUAACGGCGAGUGAAGCGGGAAGAGCUCAAAUUUGAAAUCUUCAAGGUUCUACCUUGACGAAUUGUAGUUUAAAGAAGUGUUUUCUGUUGGAGUUUUGGUAAAAGUUCUUUGGAAUAGGACAUCAUAGAGGGUGAGAAUCCCGUAUUUGACCAUUAUUUCCAGCUUUGUGAUACACUUUCAAAGAGUCGGAUUGUUUGGGAAUGCAGUCCAAAAUGGGUGGUAAAUUUCAUCUAAAGCUAAAUAUUGGCGAGAGACCGAUAGCGAACAAGUACCGUGAGGGAAAGAUGAAAAGAACUUUGAAAAGAGAGUUAAACAGUACGUGAAAUUGUCAAAAGGGAAGCGUUUGACACCAGUGUUGUUUUCUCGAAAAUCAAUUAAAUAAGGCAGGAUUUUGUGUUGUAUUGACUUUAUCAGCUUUCUGCACUCUUUUCUUGUCUUUUUUAAUGCACUUUUCGUUUAACAAGUCAACAUCAAUUUCUUUUGUUGUAAAAGGGUCAUUGGAAGGUGGCUCUCUUUUCGGAGAAAGUGUUUAUAGCCUUUGGCCUCUGCAAUCGGAGAGAUUGAGGUCUGCAGCGUAGAUCCUUCGGGGCUAGAUACAUUUGUGCUAAGUUAUAGCAUUUAUAGACAACUUGUUGACUACUGAUUAGUCAUUGUAGCUUACUCGCUUAUGUUAUUUUACCUACGCUUAGGAUGUUGAUGUGAUACUGCGAGCA